UGCAAGUCGAGCGAACAGAUGAGGAGCUUGCUCCUCUGACGUUAGCGGCGGACGGGUGAGUAACACGUGGGUAACCUACCUAUAAGACUGGAAUAACUCCGGGAAACCGGGGCUAAUGCCGGAUAAUAUGCGGAACCGCAUGGUUCUGCAAUGAAAGACGGUCUUGCUGUCACUUAUAGAUGGACCCGCGCCGUAUUAGCUAGUUGGUAAGGUAACGGCUUACCAAGGCAACGAUACGUAGCCGACCUGAGAGGGUGAUCGGCCACACUGGAACUGAGACACGGUCCAGACUCCUACGGGAGGCAGCAGUAGGGAAUCUUCCGCAAUGGGCGAAAGCCUGACGGAGCAACGCCGCGUGAGUGAUGAAGGUCUUCGGAUCGUAAAACUCUGUUAUUAGGGAAGAACAAGUGCGUAGGUAACUAUGCGCACCUUGACGGUACCUAAUCAGAAAGCCACGGCUAACUACGUGCCAGCAGCCGCGGUAAUACGUAGGUGGCAAGCGUUAUCCGGAAUUAUUGGGCGUAAAGCGCGCGUAGGCGGUUUUUUAAGUCUGAUGUGAAAGCCCACGGCUCAACCGUGGAGGGUCAUUGGAAACUGGAAAACUUGAGUGCAGAAGAGGAAAGUGGAAUUCCAUGUGUAGCGGUGAAAUGCGCAGAGAUAUGGAGGAACACCAGUGGCGAAGGCGACUUUCUGGUCUGCAACUGACGCUGAUGUGCGAAAGCGUGGGGAUCAAACAGGAUUAGAUACCCUGGUAGUCCACGCCGUAAACGAUGAGUGCUAAGUGUUAGGGGGUUUCCGCCCCUUAGUGCUGCAGCUAACGCAUUAAGCACUCCGCCUGGGGAGUACGGCCGCAAGGCUGAAACUCAAAGGAAUUGACGGGGACCCGCACAAGCGGUGGAGCAUGUGGUUUAAUUCGAAGCAACGCGAAGAACCUUACCAAAUCUUGACAUCCUUUGACCGCUCUAGAGAUAGAGUCUUCCCCUUCGGGGGACAAAGUGACAGGUGGUGCAUGGUUGUCGUCAGCUCGUGUCGUGAGAUGUUGGGUUAAGUCCCGCAACGAGCGCAACCCUUAAGCUUAGUUGCCAGCAUUAAGUUGGGCACUCUAAGUUGACUGCCGGUGACAAACCGGAGGAAGGUGGGGAUGACGUCAAAUCAUCAUGCCCCUUAUGAUUUGGGCUACACACGUGCUACAAUGGACAGUACAAAGGGCAGCGAAACCGCGAGGUCAAGCAAAUCCCAUAAAGCUGUUCUCAGUUCGGAUUGUAGUCUGCAACUCGACUACA
rnacentral:rRNA from 1 species